AUACCUUUCUCAGCGUUUUGGCUAAGAUCAAGUGUAGUAUCUGUUCUUAUCAAUUUAAUAUCUAAUAUAUGGGCCAUUGGUCCAUUAUGAUAUUAAAUUAAUUUUUAAGUGGGGGAGAGCUCAUCACAGUAGCUUGCUACUGGAGUUUCAGGCAUCGCUUUUGUAUUGCACUAUUGCAUAAGUUUGGCGCACCCUAU